UUAAGCGACUAAGCGUACACGGUGGAUGCCCUGGCAGUCAGAGGCGAUGAAGGACGUGCUAAUCUGCGAUAAGCGUCGGUAAGGUGAUAUGAACCGUUAUAACCGGCGAUUUCCGAAUGGGGAAACCCAGUGUGUUUCGACACACUAUCAUUAACUGAAUCCAUAGGUUAAUGAGGCGAACCGGGGGAACUGAAACAUCUAAGUACCCCGAGGAAAAGAAAUCAACCGAGAUUCCCCCAGUAGCGGCGAGCGAACGGGGAGGAGCCCAGAGCCUGAAUCAGUGUGUGUGUUAGUGGAAGCGUCUGGAAAGGCGCGCGAUACAGGGUGACAGCCCCGUACACAAAAAUGCACAUGCUGUGAGCUCGAUGAGUAGGGCGGGACACGUGGUAUCCUGUCUGAAUAUGGGGGGACCAUCCUCCAAGGCUAAAUACUCCUGACUGACCGAUAGUGAACCAGUACCGUGAGGGAAAGGCGAAAAGAACCCCGGCGAGGGGAGUGAAAAAGAACCUGAAACCGUGUACGUACAAGCAGUGGGAGCCUCUUUAUGGGGUGACUGCGUACCUUUUGUAUAAUGGGUCAGCGACUUAUAUUCUGUAGCAAGGUUAACCGAAUAGGGGAGCCGAAGGGAAACCGAGUCUUAACUGGGCGUUAAGUUGCAGGGUAUAGACCCGAAACCCGGUGAUCUAGCCAUGGGCAGGUUGAAGGUUGGGUAACACUAACUGGAGGACCGAACCGACUAAUGUUGAAAAAUUAGCGGAUGACUUGUGGCUGGGGGUGAAAGGCCAAUCAAACCGGGAGAUAGCUGGUUCUCCCCGAAAGCUAUUUAGGUAGCGCCUCGUGAAUUCAUCUCCGGGGGUAGAGCACUGUUUCGGCAAGGGGGUCAUCCCGACUUACCAACCCGAUGCAAACUGCGAAUACCGGAGAAUGUUAUCACGGGAGACACACGGCGGGUGCUAACGUCCGUCGUGAAGAGGGAAACAACCCAGACCGCCAGCUAAGGUCCCAAAGUCAUGGUUAAGUGGGAAACGAUGUGGGAAGGCCCAGACAGCCAGGAUGUUGGCUUAGAAGCAGCCAUCAUUUAAAGAAAGCGUAAUAGCUCACUGGUCGAGUCGGCCUGCGCGGAAGAUGUAACGGGGCUAAACCAUGCACCGAAGCUGCGGCAGCGACGCUUAUGCGUUGUUGGGUAGGGGAGCGUUCUGUAAGCCUGCGAAGGUGUGCUGUGAGGCAUGCUGGAGGUAUCAGAAGUGCGAAUGCUGACAUAAGUAACGAUAAAGCGGGUGAAAAGCCCGCUCGCCGGAAGACCAAGGGUUCCUGUCCAACGUUAAUCGGGGCAGGGUGAGUCGACCCCUAAGGCGAGGCCGAAAGGCGUAGUCGAUGGGAAACAGGUUAAUAUUCCUGUACUUGGUGUUACUGCGAAGGGGGGACGGAGAAGGCUAUGUUGGCCGGGCGACGGUUGUCCCGGUUUAAGCGUGUAGGCUGGUUUUCCAGGCAAAUCCGGAAAAUCAAGGCUGAGGCGUGAUGACGAGGCACUACGGUGCUGAAGCAACAAAUGCCCUGCUUCCAGGAAAAGCCUCUAAGCAUCAGGUAACAUCAAAUCGUACCCCAAACCGACACAGGUGGUCAGGUAGAGAAUACCAAGGCGCUUGAGAGAACUCGGGUGAAGGAACUAGGCAAAAUGGUGCCGUAACUUCGGGAGAAGGCACGCUGAUAUGUAGGUGAAGCGACUUGCUCGUGGAGCUGAAAUCAGUCGAAGAUACCAGCUGGCUGCAACUGUUUAUUAAAAACACAGCACUGUGCAAACACGAAAGUGGACGUAUACGGUGUGACGCCUGCCCGGUGCCGGAAGGUUAAUUGAUGGGGUUAGCGGUAACGCGAAGCUCUUGAUCGAAGCCCCGGUAAACGGCGGCCGUAACUAUAACGGUCCUAAGGUAGCGAAAUUCCUUGUCGGGUAAGUUCCGACCUGCACGAAUGGCGUAAUGAUGGCCAGGCUGUCUCCACCCGAGACUCAGUGAAAUUGAACUCGCUGUGAAGAUGCAGUGUACCCGCGGCAAGACGGAAAGACCCCGUGAACCUUUACUAUAGCUUGACACUGAACAUUGAGCCUUGAUGUGUAGGAUAGGUGGGAGGCUUUGAAGUGUGGACGCCAGUCUGCAUGGAGCCGGCCUUGAAAUACCACCCUUUAAUGUUUGAUGUUCUAACGUUGGCCCCUGAUCGGGGUUGCGGACAGUGUCUGGUGGGUAGUUUGACUGGGGCGGUCUCCUCCUAAAGAGUAACGGAGGAGCACGAAGGUUGGCUAAUCCUGGUCGGACAUCAGGAGGUUAGUGCAAUGGCAUAAGCCAGCUUGACUGCGAGCGUGACGGCGCGAGCAGGUGCGAAAGCAGGUCAUAGUGAUCCGGUGGUUCUGAAUGGAAGGGCCAUCGCUCAACGGAUAAAAGGUACUCCGGGGAUAACAGGCUGAUACCGCCCAAGAGUUCAUAUCGACGGCGGUGUUUGGCACCUCGAUGUCGGCUCAUCACAUCCUGGGGCUGAAGUAGGUCCCAAGGGUAUGGCUGUUCGCCAUUUAAAGUGGUACGCGAGCUGGGUUUAGAACGUCGUGAGACAGUUCGGUCCCUAUCUGCCGUGGGCGCUGGAGAACUGAGGGGGGCUGCUCCUAGUACGAGAGGACCGGAGUGGACGCAUCACUGGUGUUCGGGUUGUCAUGCCAAUGGCACUGCCCGGUAGCUAAAUGCGGAAGAGAUAAGUGCUGAAAGCAUCUAAGCACGAAACUUGCCCCGAGAUGAGUUCUCCCUGAGACUUUAAGUCUCCUGAAGGAACGUUGAAGACGACGACGUUGAUAGGCCGGGUGUGUAAGCGCAGCGAUGCGUUGAGCUAACCGGUACUAAUGAACCGUGAGGCUUAACCUU
rnacentral:rRNA from 1 species